CGCGCGCAGGCGGUUUCUUAAGUCUGAUGUGAAAGCCCACGGCUUAACCGUGGAGGGUCAUUGGAAACUGGGAGACUUGAGUGCAGAAGAGGAAAGUGGAAUUCCAAGUGUAGCGGUGAAAUGCGUAGAGAUUUGGAGGAACACCAGUGGCGAAGGCGACUUUCUGGUCUGCAACUGACGCUGAGGCGCGAAAGCAUGGGGAGCAAACAGGAUUAGAUACCCUGGUAGUCCAUGCCGUAAACGAUGAGUGCUAAGUGUUAGGGGGUUUCCGCCCCUUAGUGCUGCAGCUAACGCAUUAAGCACUCCGCCUGGGGAGUACGACCGCAAGGUUGAAACUCAAAGGAAUUGACGGGGGCCCGCACAAGCGGUGGAGCAUGUGGUUUAAUUCGAAGCAACGCGAAGAACCUUACCAGGUCUUGACAUCCCAGUGACCGCUCUAGAGAUAGAGUUUUCCCUUCGGGGACAUUGGUGACAGGUGGUGCAUGGUUGUCGUCAGCUCGUGUCGUGAGAUGUUGGGUUAAGUCCCGCAACGAGCGCAACCCUUGAUCUUAGUUGCCAUCAUUUAGUUGGGCACUCUAAGGUGACUGCCGGUGACAAACCGGAGGAAGGUGGG
rnacentral:rRNA from 1 species